AGCUGUUGGAGCAGGCCAGCGGUGAGAUCAUUCGCGUGUCUUAGGUCCGGAUGGGCUGGAGCGCCAGGAUAGACCAGAAGUACAUGUAAUUCAGAUAGGACAAGAAGCCUUGUGGAGAGGAAGAGGGCACAGGAGAUGAGACACAGAGUUCACCCACCCAAUCCCAAUCACAGUCCUGUCCCCAGGCCCAAUUGCAUGCCCUGCUCUGCAUCAAACCCCAUCCCCAAACCUAUUCUUAAACCCAUCACCAAUUCCAUUCCAUACCCUAACCUAUUCCCAAACCCAUCUCCAAACCGAAACUCACCUUCAUCCCCUACACUGUCCCUAACCCAUACGCAAACUCCAACCCAGUCCCAUCCCCAUUAUCCAGCCCCAUGUGCAUCCCCAAUCCCGCCUCCCACUUCAGUCACUUCCUAUCUAGCCCUGUCCACAACCCCACCCCGUCCCAAAUGCUAUCCCAAAUGCUAUUCCUGUCUGCAUCCCUGAACCCAUACCCAAAGCCAACCUCAUCCUCUCCCAUACCAGUCAUCAGGAAGAGGAAGACACUGGCCCAGGUCAGGUAGAAGCUGAGUGCCAGCUGGUAGGUCAUGCCUUCCUGCAGGUACCUGUGGGCCUGCAGCAGGUAGAACAGGAUACCCAGUACGAUGCUGGUUCCUGCAUGAGCACAGGUGUUAGGAGGCUGAGAAUCAGAUAUGUAAGGACUCCUUCCCAUAGUCAUGUGGCUGCCUGGCUCUGGCUCAUUAUUUCCCCACUUUCUUUAACCUCCCAGACCCUGUACCUUUGCUCCUAAGCAUGAAGAUGGGCUUCUGACCAAGUCCUGCUAGAGGACACUGAAAGGGCAAGCCUUGGGCUUUAACCAGGCAAUGGAAAAUUUAAAUUGGGCUCCAGAGAAGAGACAUUGAGACUGAUACUUCCAGCACUGAGGAUCUACCUCUAGAAGUCUAGCUCAGAACUUGGCCUCCGGCCUGGGCACUGCCUCAUACCUGCCAGAAUUGAUCUCAAUGGAGCUGCACAAUGAGAGGUUUUGCAUGUUGUCUAGAGGACUUUGGUUGAGUUCAGAGCUGAGCACACUUGCCUUCAGACUCUCCUGGGACUCCCAGUUCUCAUCCAUAUGAGCAAGGGCUUCAUGUUACUGGCCGUGGCCCUGUGCUGAGUCCUCCUCCCGCCCAUGGCCCUCUCCUCCUGGCCAGUGGUCCUCCGCCUGAACAUGGCCGACUUUGUCUUCAGUUUCCUCUGCCUCGGCAUUGGGCUCCUGAUUUCUCUUCAGCCUGACGCUCUUUUCAGUUAACGGCAAGGCGGUGCACCCAAGUCCGGUGGUGUCCUACCUGGUGACCUCCUACCUGUGCUGGGACGCCAGCGACUUGAUGCUGCACUCCGCCAUCUCCCAGGAGCCGUGUCCUACCUAAGCCCAGUGGGCAUGUGAAGCAGAGGGCAGCCCUUGAAUGCGCGGCGGCUGAGCUACCGCGGGUGGGCCGUGCAGCAGGGCGCAGCGAGGCGGACAUCCAAACAGCGGAACUCAGACGCUGACUCCGAGCGCACCCCGGGCCUUCCCAUUUCAUACACCCUCGAGGAUGAGACCCAAGCACCUCCAAGGAAUAGCACCCGAGGUCUUCAGGACACCGACCGGUAGCCAUGGCCAGAUGCCCGGCCAACCCCUUCAGCGUGGCCACGCCCUGGAUAUUCGACCUCCCCUGAGGCCCCACCCCCUGAUAUCAGGCCACGCCCUCCGAGGGGACCGGUGGCAAACUCCAGCCCUCGCUCUAGGGCCCGCCCUUUGCGGCUUUGUCCCUGCCCACUGGGUCCUCACAGUACCUCCACCCCAGAGGCCCAGCAUCCCCUCCCGUUCUGCAGACACUUGUCCAGCGUCCCGCUGAGCUCGGCAGUGUGGCUAGUUUGUGUGGCCCUGCCCCUGGUGCCCAGCCAGGGUGGUCUGCAUGGAACUUCUUUCCCGGAGUUCCGGCCUCAGCUCCGAUGUCCACCCUUGUCCCCAGGUGGACACAGCACCGCCCAGCAUUUGGUGCAACUCCACCCUUCUGCAGAACGGGCCCCUCCCUGGGAAGGCAUGGCUUGCAAUAACAUCCCUCUGUACCUUUUCUGGCUUCCCCGCCACAAUAAAACCUCUCAGCCUCAGACCUUCCAUUGCCCCCCACCUCCCCACCAGGGCAGGGUCCAUCCUAGUGUGAGUGAACUGUUCUGGCGUCCCUGACUUGCCCUUUGGGA
rnacentral:lncRNA from 10 species